CUCACUUCUGGGCCUUUUAGUUAAGAUCAAGUGUAGUAUCUGUUCUUAUCAGUUUAAUAUCUGAUCUGUUCUUUAAAUGAGAACGUUAUAUUAAACUGAUUUUUAAAACAGGGUGCUGGAAUAGGGGCUUGCUCCUUCUGUUCCACACAUCAACCUGGUAUUGCAGUAGCUCCAAGAAUGGUGUUUUGGCG